AUUAUUAAAGAAUUUCGGUUAUCGAUGGGGAUGCGUUCCAUUAGGCAGUUGGUGAGGUAACGGCUCACCAAACCUUCGAUGGAUAGGGGUUCUGAGAGGAAGGUCCCCCACAUUGGAACUGAGACACGGUCCAAACUCCUACGGGAGGCAGCAGUGAGGAAUAUUGGUCAAUGGACGCGAGUCUGAACCAGCCAAGUAGCGUGAAGGAUGACUGCCCUAUGGGUUGUAAACUUCUUUUAUAUGGGAAUAAAGUUUUCCACGUGUGGAAUUUUGUAUGUACCAUAUGAAUAAGGAUCGGCUAACUCCGUGCCAGCAGCCGCGGUAAUACGGAGGAUCCGAGCGUUAUCCGGAUUUAUUGGGUUUAAAGGGAGCGUAGGUGGACAGUUAAGUCAGUUGUGAAAGUUUGCGGCUCAACCGUAAAAUUGCAGUUGAUACUGGCUGUCUUGAGUACAGUAGAGGUGGGCGGAAUUCGUGGUGUAGCGGUGAAAUGCUUAGAUAUCACGAAGAACUCCGAUUGCGAAGGCAGCUCACUGGACUGCAACUGACACUGAUGCUCGAAAGUGUGGGUAUCAAACAGGAUUAGAUACCCUGGUAGUCCACACAGUAAACGAUGAAUACUCGCUGUUUGCGAUAUACAGUAAGCGGCCAAGCGAAAGCAUUAAGUAUUCCACCUGGGGAGUACGCCGGCAACGGUGAAACUCAAAGGAAUUGACGGGGGCCCGCACAAGCGGAGGAACAUGUGGUUUAAUUCGAUGAUACGCGAGGAACCUUACCCGGGCUUAAAUUGCAUUUGAAUAUAUUGGAAACAGUAUAGCCGUAAGGCAAAUGUGAAGGUGCUGCAUGGUUGUCGUCAGCUCGUGCCGUGAGGUGUCGGCUUAAGUGCCAUAACGAGCGCAACCCUUAUCUUUAGUUACUAACAGGUCAUGCUGAGGACUCUAGAGAGACUGCCGUCGUAAGAUGUGAGGAAGGUGGGGAUGACGUCAAAUCAGCACGGCCCUUACGUCCGGGGCUACACACGUGUUACAAUGGGGGGUACAGAAGGCAGCUACCUGGUGACAGGAUGCUAAUCCCAAAAGCCUCUCUCAGUUCGGAUCGAAGUCUGCAACCCGACUUCGUGAAGCUGGAUUCGCUAGUAAUCGCGCAUCAGCCAUGGCGCGGUGAAUACGUUCCCGGGCCUUGUACACACCGCCCGUCAAGCCAUGAAAGCCGGGGGUACCUGAAGUACGUAACCGCAAGGAGCGUCCUAGGGUAAAACUGGUAAUUGGGGCUAAGUCGUAACAAGGUAGCCGUACCGGAAGGUGCGGCUGGAACACCUCCUUU
rnacentral:rRNA from 1 species